GUGUGACUCAGUUCAGCAUUCAGAUCAUCAAACCAUCACCACCAUUGUGGAGUACACCUGUGUGGCUCAGUUCACCACAACAAAUUCUCAUCCCAAGGCGUCAUCUAUCUCACACUUUGGACCAUGCUUAAACAUCCGACGCUUUAGGCACCCUUAUUCAGCACCAAUUCAGAUUCAUCACAAUACGAGGCGUCAUCUAUCUCACACUUUGGACCAUGCUUAAACAUCCGACGCUUUAGGCACCCUUAUUCAGCACCAAUUCAGAUUCAUCACAAUACGAGAGGCCAGUGUUGUCUGUCAUUAAGGGUAUUUUGGUGGUGUUGCCCUGCAUGGACUGAAGCCCUUACCACCGUAUCAUCUCUGAAGAUUGGUAUAUGAGCUUAUCACCCACUGAAUAAUUGUCAUUGGAUGAGCUAGAUUAUGUCAUGUCAAAAGAUCUACAGUCUCCACUGGAUCAGCCAAAUUACAGCAAAUCUUCAUUUCUGCUGGUUCAGCUCAGUCAUUAGAUGUCUUUGUGGCCACUGCUUCAGUCCAGUCCCAAGUCAUCUUCAUCACAGCUGGUCCUGCCCACCUUCAAAUGUGUUUUGCAGCAGCUGAUCACAGUCAUCUCCAAGUCUCCUUCAUUAUCAUCUCAGCCUGUAUUUACUCUGUUCACAACUACACUUAUGUCCAAUCUAGCUGCUAGUUCCACCCUGGCUCUUACCUCCACCAGUUAUGUUGUGGUCCAUCAUCCUGGAUCUCCUCUAAAUCAUCCUUUGCCUCCUCCCUCCAUCACAUCCUGCCUGGCUUCUACGUCUAUCAUCUCCACUGUGUCGUUUCAUUUAGACAGAUCCUGGGUCUCAUUGGUCUUCAUCUGCUCAAUGCCAACUUCUGUUACCUCUGUUGAAAAUUGUGUUGCACGAACACACAAUUGUUGUUGAUGUGGGUUGAAACUUAUGUUACAAUAUAUUCUGUGUACUUCCAUUAUCAUGGUCGGCUUUCCUUUCCCUAUCACUACUUACCCAGCUUCUUGUGUGGUGUUAAGUUAUUAUUUUUAUUUUAUGUAGCCCUACACUUUGGCUACCCUACCACAUUACCUUACUUCCAACACUGCUGUAUCAUGCAUGUUUACCUGAACACCUUGUUUAACUGUUCAGACAUGAGUGUUAAAGAUUGGAGUCAAAUUCUUUAGGAGUGUGCACUUCUCUUUGACUUUUUAUUGCCUCUUCAAUGUACUACUU